AGGAAGUCAUAAUGAUGAUACACAGAACUGCAUGAAAUAAGGCAACAAGCAGCAAGAUGAAUAUUUUCCAGUUAGUAUAACACCUUCCGGGUUGAUUGUCUUUAAUUAGCAAGCACUGCAACAUUAUAUUUACUAGAGAAAAAUACACUGACUGAUAGCUCUUUUUAUGUUUGUCUUUGAUAGAAUACCAUUAACUAACAUCGUCAUUCCAUUACUCUGGAUGCCAAGAACACCACCACAUCAACAUAAAGCUAAGAUGCAGCCAUGAAACUCUGAAGCUUGAAGGAAGACAGAGAAAAUGAAGACAGAGAAAAGCCUUAAGGAUUGUACCAUGGGUACUCCAAUAUCUAGAAAGAGGUGAGGAGGAAGAAAAACAAAGCUGUGGGGAGCAAUCCGGACGGGACUAAGUUACUGGAAUUAGGACUUAUUCUAUGCAUCUGGUCUCCCACAAUAUGGCGCUGGGAGAGAAGAAAACAGCUUCUGCACAGCUGCCUCCAGUUCAGCCAAUAAACUGUAGGACUUGCUCCUGAUUGGAGGAGAGCAGCGUACUCGGCGUGUGGGCAGCCGAGUUAGGAUUGGCGGAGGAGGACUAUAAAGGGGGAGGGAGACGGCAUGCACCGGGAACAUCUAAGGGGAACAUCUAAGGGGAACGCCUGUGUAGCCCCCGAGAGAGCCGGCCGGCGGUGUGCUGCUCCCCUGCGGAAGUGGGGAAUGUGGCCAGGGGGAACCGCCCUUCCACGGAGGUGGAAGGGACAGUAGCCAACCCGGGAAGAACCAGCAGCAAACCCGGGGAGGGCCGAGCAGACGAAAGAACAGCGCAGGAUCCUGUGUCGUUCCUCCACGAAGACGGGGAGCGACAUAAUGGUGCCGUGACUCGGAUAGGAAACCUAGGAUGGAUAGGAAACUUAGGAGGGAAGAAACGGGAAGAACUGGGAAAAUACCGGAGAGAGAGACUAGCAAACAGCCUAGGGAAAAGCCGGACGAAAAAGGUGCCGGAAGAAGCUAUUGAAAGCCUAGGCAUAGACUCAGAUACGGACUACAGGGGGAAGCUGGGAGAAAUCUCUAAGGUCGAAAGCGAAAGUGAAAGCUAGAACAAACAGACUCGGAUGCGGACUGUGGGGAGAGGCCAGGAGAAAUGAGGGAGGAAUAUUGUUGGAAGAAAGCUUGGGGAAACAUACCGGGUAGAGAAAAAUGUUAGGGAAAUUGAAGCCGCGGGGGGCAGGCCGAGGCGGAGACGAAAGCCACUUUGGGAUUCUCAAGUUAGCCCGGGAAUAGGGGGCGAAAAGUUGAAACCAGAAGCAGAAACGUAAGCCAGAUUGGGAUCUGUCUGAUUAGCCCGGGGAGCAAAGGACGGGAAGCCAAAUCGUGGGGCGGAGACGUGAGCUGGGUUGAAUUCGCCAGGCUAGCCCGGGGAACUUGGAUUGAAUACUAGUGGCGGAGACGCAAGCUACGCUGUGUGACUCGCGGAGGCUGCCGCGCGCAGACAGAGCGUGCGGGGCUCAAGUAGAUAGGGAACGCGGGGCUAGUGAGACACCGCAGAGUGUGCGCGCGAAGCCGAGCCGCGCAGAGCCGCGAAGCCGCGCAGAUGAGAGAGGCGCGGGCUGAAGCGGCUCAGAGCCGGAAAGCCGCGGAGAAGCAGCCUCGGGGCGGGCACCGGAAAGCCGCAGGGAUAAGAGAAACAGAAGUUUAGAAGUAAAAUGAGAGAAAUAGGAAUGCUGGAAGAUAGAAGUAAAAUGGGAGAAAUAGGAAUGCCCGGAGAUAGAGAAAUAGAGAAAUAGAAAGGCCUCCCCUCAACAUGGCAAUGAGAAAGCUUGGAUUCGGUCUGCCCGAUUAGUGAGGCGAUGAGCACCUGCGGGCGGCUAGCAGCUUAUGCGCCGCAGGUCACCGAAGACCGGCACGAAUUAACAUCAAUAAGGCCUCCCCACAACACAGCAAUGAGAGAGCUUGGAUUCGGUCUGCCUGAUUAAGUGAGGCGAUGAGCACCUGCGGGCGGCUAGCAGCUUAUGCGCCGCAGGUCACCGAAGACAGGCACGAAUUAACAUCAGUAAGGCCUCCCCACAAUACAGCAAUUAGGAGGCUUGGAUUCGGUCUGCCUGAUUAAGGCGGUAAGCACCAGCAGGCGGCUCGACCAGAGUGUGAGCCGCAGGUCACCGAACACAGGCACGCAUCAGCGCCUAAAAACCUCCUCACAACAUGGCGAAGAGAGGACUUGUAAGAACCUGUGGCAACUCUAGCAAGUAGAGCAGAGUGUGUGCCGCGGGACACCGAAGACAGGCGCGUAUCAACGCCAAAAAUAAAAAGAAAGGGGGAUCUGUGGGGAGCAAUCCGGACGGGACUAAGUUACUGGAAUUAGGACUUAUUCUAUGCAUCUGGUCUCCCACAAUAUGGCGCUGGGAGAGAAGAAAACAGCUUCUGCACAGCUGCCUCCAGUUCAGCCAAUAAACUGUAGGACUUGCUCCUGAUUGGAGGAGAGCAGCGUACUCGGCGUGUGGGCAGCCGAGUUAGGAUUGGCGGAGGAGGACUAUAAAGGGGGAGGGAGACGGCAUGCACCGGGAACAUCUAAGGGGAACAUCUAAGGGGAACGCCUGUGUAGCCCCCGAGAGAGCCGGCCGGCGGUGUGCUGCUCCCCUGCGGAAGUGGGGAAUGUGGCCAGGGGGAACCGCCCUUCCACGGAGGUGGAAGGGACAGUAGCCAACCCGGGAAGAACCAGCAGCAAACCCGGGGAGGGCCGAGCAGACGAAAGAACAGCGCAGGAUCCUGUGUCGUUCCUCCACGAAGACGGGGAGCGACACAAAGCCAAGGAAGGAAGGAAGGGAAGGAAAGAAAAAGUGCUUUGUGUUGUAAAGUAAAAUAUCAGAGUUCAUGUCACACAAUUUUAACUCAAAGUAUGAAUAAACAAAUUCAAAAUUUAUAAAAAGAGAAAAAGAAAAUAUGACCAGUAGACAUAUUUUAUUAUGCAAUCUUCAUUAUUUGGGAGCUAUUUUCUCAAAAAUUAACAGCAUGAUUCUUCAUAGAAAAUAGCAAAGAGUGUUUAUUGUCAGUGAUAAAAUUUGAAUUUUAAAUGAAAGCUCUAAAUUUAAAAAACUUUAUCUGUCACCAUGAAAUUUUCCCAAGACUUUCCAGAUGACAGCAAUGAUGUCAUGUGGCUUUUUGAUAUUUUAUAAUGAAAUAUGUCAACAUUUGGCAGAUCUAUUUAACUUAGUGAACUAACAUUUUCUAAGUAAUUAGCAUAUGAUGUUACAAAAUCAUACACUGGUGAAAAAUGUCCUUAAAGUAAGAGACCAGUGGAUUUUAAUGUAGCAGAAAAUGAAAAGUUUAUUUAGAUGGCUUCAAAUUUCUCAUUACAUCUGUCUUUUAAGAACCUAUUAUUAGUUUGAGUUUUGGUGCAAUUGUAUCAAAGAAGAAUAUCUGUAAUUAUUUGAAAGCUUUUAAAAUUAUUCUUCCUUUUUCAAUUAUAUAUCUGUAAGUAGGCAAUUUUCUUUAACUAGUUGGACCAAAACAACAUAUCACAACAGACAAUAUAAAGGAAGAUAUGAGAAUCUACCCUUCCAUUAGGCCAGGGAUUAUAGAUUUUCAAAGAAGUGAACAAUGUCAAUAUUAUAUUUGUUUCAUUUUUGAGAAUAUAACUGUUAUCUUAGAAAUUAUUUAUGCUAACAUGGAAUUAUUACUUUUAAUAAAUUUUAAAUGUGCCUAUUUUAAUUUUCAAUAAAAAUAAAUAAAAGCUUUUGAACUUCUUUGAGACCACAAA